rnacentral:rRNA from 1 species
GAGGAAAAGAAACCAACAGGGAUUGCCUCAGUAACGGCGAGUGAAGCGGCAAAAGCUCGAAUUUGAAAUCCUCUUCGGAGGAGUUGUAAUUUGAAGCUGGUUCUUUAGGGAGUUUUGUUUUUGGCUGCGGAAGUGCCUUGGAACAGGCCGCCGUGGAGGGUGAGAGCCCCGUAUCGUGGCCAGCAAGAUUUUCGUACAAGGGCUAGCGAAGAGUCGAGUUGUUUGGGAAUGCAGCUCUAAGUGGGUGGUAUAUUCCAUCUAAGGCUAAAUAUGGGCGAGAGACCGAUAGCAAACAAGUACAGUGAUGGAAAGAUGAAAAGAACUUUGAAAAGAGAGUGAAAAAGUACGUGAAAUUGUUGAAAGGGAAGGGUAUUUGAUCCGACAUGGUAUUUAGAUGUCGCUUGCCCCCGUGGCGGGCGCUCCAUCUUUUUACUGGGCCAGCAUCGGUGCUGGGCGGGACAGGAGGUUUCUGUGAAUGUAGCCCCUCGGGGAACUUAUAGAACAGGAUUCAUACGUCUCUCCCCGGUACCGAGGACUGCGGGAAACCAAGGAUGCUGGCAUAACGAGCAAAUACCGCCCGUCUUG